AACGAACGCUGGCGGCAGGCCUAACACAUGCAAGUCGAGCGAGGACUUCGGUCCUAGCGGCGGACGGGUGAGUAACGCGUGGGAACGUGCCCUUUGGUACGGAAUAGCCCCGGGAAACUGGGAGUAAUACCGUAUGUGCCCUUCGGGGGAAAGAUUUAUCGCCAAAGGAUCGGCCCGCGUUGGAUUAGGUAGUUGGUGGGGUAAUGGCCUACCAAGCCGACGAUCCAUAGCUGGUUUGAGAGGAUGAUCAGCCACACUGAGACUGAGACACGGCCCAGACUCCUACGGGAGGCAGCAGUGGGGAAUCUUAGACAAUGGGGGAAACCCUGAUCUAGCCAUGCCGCGUGAUCGAUGAAGGCCUUAGGGUUGUAAAGAUCUUUCAGUGGGGAAGAUAAUGACUGUACCAGCAGAAGAAGCCCCGGCUAACUCCGUGCCAGCAGCCGCCGUAACAC
rnacentral:rRNA from 1 species